CAACUCUCAUCCUACACCGUUGGAUCGAGAAAUGGACGCCCGAGAUUCGUCCACGUCACCAUGAGUUAAAAUUUAACUCCCAGAAAAUUUUAACUCAUGAGUGAAUCUGUGAGUUAAAUUUUAACUCAUGGUGACGUGGAUGAAUCUCGGGCGUCCAUUUCUCGAUCCAACGGUGUAGGAUGAGAGUUG
rnacentral:pre_miRNA from 1 species